GUUGUGGGGCUGGGCGCUGGGGGCCAAGCUGUACCAAGGAGUGCCCAGGUUGCCUACAUGGAGGUGUCUGCCACGACCAUGACGGCGAAUGUGUAUGCCCCCCUGGCUUCACUGGCACCCGCUGUGAACAGGCCUGCAGAGAGGGCCGUUUUGGGCAGAGCUGCCAGGAGCAGUGCCCAGGCAUAUCAGGCUGCCGGGGCCUCAUGUUCUGCCUCCCAGACCCCUAUGGCUGCUCUUGUGGAUCUGGCUGGAGAGGAAGCCAGUGCCAGGAAGACCGGAUCCCCCAGAUCCUCAACAUGGCCUCAGAACUGGAGUUCAACUUAGAGACGAUGC
rnacentral:sRNA from 1 species